rnacentral:rRNA from 1 species
UACGUAGGGGGCUAGCGUUGUUCGGAAUCACUGGGCGUAAAGCGCGUGUAGGCGGCCCAUUAAGUCUGAUGUGAAAGCCCGGGGCUCACCCCCGGAAGUGCAUUGGAAACUUAUGGACUCGAGUCCCGGAGAGGAGAGUGGAAUUCCAGGUGUAGCGGUGAAAUGCGUAGAUAUCUGGAGGAAUACCGGUGGCGAAGGCGGCAUCCUGGACCGACAUUGACGCUGAUGAGCGAAAGCUAGGGGAGCAAACAGG